rnacentral:lncRNA from 1 species
CUGGGAGACAUGGAGCUAGAAUGCCACUGGGGGUUGCCAUGGGAUACAGUUUCAUAAAAGCAUUUGCAGAGCAGAAGGAAGGAAGCUAAAUAAAGUAUAUGCAGAUCAGCAUCAGUUUAAAUAUAUCCUCACUGGGAGAGUGACGUUGACAUGAUGGCAGAAUAGUUUCUACUAUGUUCUUCUCACAGUGCACCGAUUUGGACAAAAACCCACAGCAAGAGUGCCUUUGUAGGAGUCUAGGAGUCCAAUCAGUAAGUUCCAGCAAACAGUUGAAGUGGAAAAAAAAAAAAAAAAAGCCAAGAAUAGAUGCAUUGAAGAGGAACUAUUAGUGAAGAGGCCGGUUAUAUGCAGAAACUGGCAUGGCAGCAACUUGGAUGGAGCUGGAGACCAUUAUUCUAAGUGAAGUAACACAGGAGUGGAAAACCAAAGACUGUAUGUGCUCACUUAUAAGUGGGAGCUAAGCUAUGAGUAUGCAAAGGCAUACAGAGUGAUACAGUGGACUU